CUUCCAGCCAUGAUCGACUUUACUCCAAACUUCUUUCGGACUUCGUCAAUGAUCGAGCUUCUCCAGCAGUAGGACUUCUACAGUAAUCAGACCUCAUCCAAGUUUCUACGGUGAUCGACCGCCUUCCAAAUCUCAACCGAACUUUUACUGCAAGUGGUCUACUCCGAACUUCUACCACAAGCAGUCUACUCCAAACUUUUACUGCAAACGGUUUACUCCGAACUUCUACCACAAGCAGUCUACUCUGAACUUCUACUGCAAGCAGUCUACUCCAGACUUCUACUGUAAGCGAAUUC
rnacentral:lncRNA from 1 species